rnacentral:rRNA from 1 species
UACGAGGGGGGCGAGCGUUGUUCGGAAUUAUUGGGCGUAAAGGGUGCGUAGGCGGUUUGGUAAGUCUGAUGAUGAAAUCUGAUGGGCUCAACUCAUAGUCUGCAUCGGAAACUGCCGGGCUUGAGUGUGGGAGAGGUGAGUGGAAUUCCUGGUGUAGCGGUGAAAUGCGUAGAUAUCAGGAGGAACACCUGUGGCGAAAGCGGCUCACUGGACCAUAACUGACGCUGAUGCACGAAAGCUAGGGGAGCAAACAGG